rnacentral:lncRNA from 1 species
UUUCUUUUCUGUUUACUAGUAUUUUUCCAUUUACUUUUUGUUUAUUUAUUUAGCUAUUGUUUUGUAUUUUCUUUUAGCAUCAAAAUAUUUUUGUAAAAUGUUAAACCUUGCCAUAUAAUUACUAUGCAUUAUUGUGCACUGCCACAACAAGUUUGGGUUCAAAAUAAUUUAUUAAGUUUGAGUUUAUUUUUAAAUGGGAUAAAAAGGUGUUGUUGGUCCACUGUUUUAAUAUCCAGGGGCAAUUUUAUAUUUUGAAAAAUGUUAAUUAUUUCAUGACAAAUUGUUAGUGAAUAUUUGCAACCCACCAAACAUUUUUGUUUUACCGUUUGAAGAAAUAAUAGUUUGACUUUAUUUUAAAUUUAAUUUGAAUCAGGUUUGGAUCAAAGUGAGGUUUAGCAAAUUACUGCAAUGACAUGGCAUCAUUAAGAGGGGAUUACUGUAGCUUGAUUAUCCGGGCGUCACAAUUCUCCUCCACUACAAGAAAUCUCGUCCCAAGAUUUAGGACCGGAGUAAGGGGGAAAGGGUCUGGUUAGGUAAUUCUAACGAAUCUCCUCGGUCUUGGUUGCUUUUCUCGAAGAGCUCAAUCCAUUACAAUGAUGUCUUCAUUCCACUGCUUCAGGUCAUCAUUAUGAAGUCUUCAUCCUUUCUUCGGGGGUUCCAUCGUUCUUACGAAUAGGUAACGGGGCAGAUUUGCAACCACAGAAUGCUAUAAGGGUAAUAAUAUAGGAUUAACUAAUGAAUGAUCAUACGAGUGCCUCUCGAGUUGAACAAUUAAAACACAUCAAGAGUAAAGUUCGAAGGUACAAUAAGAAUUUUGAAGCAGAUAGAUAGUUGCUCGAAGUCUGAACCUGAAUGAGAAAGGGGUUCAGAGUAGCGAGAGUAAGUAUUACGUCUGAUACCAGAAUAGAGCACUAGGAAGGCGGCCCAUGAAUUGAAUACGAAGCUGUAGGAUCUAGAAGUAGAUGUGUCUAAAGGGGGGUGAUUAGACACUUAGUGCUAAAGUUGCAAUCUUUAAGCUUCUUCGGUUUAAGUGGGGGUUUAGUCACAAUUUCAGCACACGCAAUACAUAUCAAGCAAGCAUGCAAAGAGCAAGAAUGUAAAGGGAAAGGUUUGGAGAGAUCAAACGCAAUUGGAGACACAGAUGUUUUUCCCGUGGUUCGGGUAGGUGGUGCUAUCCUACAUCCACGUUGAUGGAGACUUCAACCCACGAAGGGUAACGGUUGCGUGAGUCCACACAGGGCUCCACCCAAGGGCAACGGUUGCGCGAGUCCACGAAGGGCUCCACCCACGAAGGGUCCACGAAGAAGCAACCACCCACAAAGGGUCCACAAAGAAGCAACCUUGUCUAUCCCACCAUGGCCAUCGCCCACGAAGGACUUGCCUCACUAGCGGUAGAUCUUCAUGAAGUAGGAGAUCUCCUUGCCCUUACAAACUCCUUGGUUCAACUCCACAAUCUUGUCGGAGGCUCCCAAGUGACACCUAGCCAAUCUAGGAGACACCACUCUCCACGAAGUAACAAAUGGUGUGUAGGUAAUGAACUCCUUGCUCUUGUGCUUCAAAUGAUAGUCUCCCCAACACUCAACUCUCUCUCAUAGGAUUUGGAUUUGCUGGAAAGAAGAUUUGAGUGGAAAGCAACUUGGGAAGGCUAGAGAUCAAGAUUCAUAUGGUAGGAAUGGAAUGUCUUGGUCUCAACACAUAAGUAGGUGGUUCUCUCUCAGAACAUAUGAGUUGGAAUGGUGUGUGUGUUCUGAUGGCUCUCUCACUAAAUGAGAAAGAGGUGGAGGGGUAUAUAUAGCCUCCACACAAAAUCCAACCGUUACACACAAUUUACCAAUCUCGGUGGGACCGAAUUAGAAAACUCAGUCUGACCGAAAUAGUAAACCUAGUGACUGUUAGGAAUUUCGGUGGGACUGACAUGCAACUCGGUAGGACCAAUUCGGUUAGGGUUUGGGCAUAACGUAAUCUCGGUGAGACCGAUUACACAAACUCGGUGGGACCGAAUUUGGUAAUUAGCUAACCAGAGAGUUGGUCAGGCAAACUUGGUGGGACCGAUUUGCUCUUUCGGUGAGACCGAGUGGAACUCGGUGAGACCGAAAAGUUACAAAGGGGAAACACUGAGUUUACAUUGCAAUCUCGGUGGGACCGAUUGCAUAUCUCGGUGGGACCGAGAAUAUUGCAAUAGGUAACAGAGAGUUUGCAAUCCCAUCUCGGUGAGACCGAGAUCCUUAUCGGUAGGACCGAAUUGCUAGGGUUUGGCAGUGGCUAAUGACAAGUGAAACUCGGUGGCGCCGGAUAGGAGGAAUCGGUAGGACCGAGUUUGGCUUAGGGUUUUAGGUCAUAUGUGGAAGUGGGAAAGUAGCUGAGGAUUUUGGAGCAUAUCAUUAAGCACAUGAAGCAAGAGGCUCAUUAAGCCACACCUCAUCCCUCCUUGAUAGUAUUGGCUUUGCCUAUGGACUCAAUGUGAUCUUGGAUCGCUAAAAUGUAAAAUGAAGGGUCUUGAGCUUGAAGCUUUAGCCAAUCCUUUGUCCUUAGCAUCUUGAAGGAGUUCCCACAACCUUUAGUCCAUGCCACUCCAUUGUUGAACUUACCUGAAACAUGCUAGAUAGAAAUGUUAGUCCAACAAGAGAUAUGUUGUCAUCAAUUAUCAAAACCACCUAGGGAGCACUUGUGCUUUCAAUCUCCCCCUUUUUGGUAAUUGAUGGCAACAUACAUCAAAGCUUUAGAUAAAGAUAUAAAGAACAGCAAGUAAAGCUUUGGAAGGACAUGUAACGAGCAUAGGCUCCCCCUACAUGUAUGCACUCAUGUAAAUAUGAAAUAUAGAGGCAUGUGAGAGCAUAACCAUGACAUAGUAGGCAAUGUGUUACAUGCAUCUUGGCCAUAUGCAUCAGAGCAAAAGAUUAUCAAGGAAAAUACCUUCAUGCUCACGAGUCCUUCUUGCAAACAGUAUGUACAUAAGCAAGAAUUCCUCAUACUCAUGAUUUUGAUGCAUAUACUUACCUUGUGGUCCUGAGUUGGCUUAGGAUGGAAUGAACCUGCACAAACAAGGUUAGAUAACACAGGUACAUCCACUAGCCAGAGCAAACAAAAGAAACCACAAGAAUACCAAGACUGGGAUGACAUGUAGAGAGUGAGUACAAAGUACCACAUUGAAUUCAACAUGUCCCCAAGAAUAAAGAUAUGCAAUGAAUUUGACUGAUUUCUUUUCCUUAGGUGUCUUGCUCCCCCUGAAUCGUACAUGGGAUAUUGGGAGAAGAUAGGAAACAGAAAAUCAGAGCUGAAAGAUAUGAAUAGAACUUAAUUCAAGCAUCUGGGAUCCUUGAGUAUUCUCUCCCCCUUGGAGAUUUCUUUCUCCCCCUUAAUAUAUGGGAUCCUUGAGUAUUCUCUCCCCCUUGGUACUUUCUCCUUUGUAGGUGAUUCUCUCCCCCUUGGUACUUUCUCCUUUGUAGGUGAUAAGCUUUUGAUGUGAUCUCUCUCUCCCUGAUGAUAAGCUUUGAUGUGAUCACUCUCUCCCCCUUUGACAUCAAUUUCCAAGAAGGUUUUUCCUGGAAUCCGUCGAAUAGGUUUGGUCCUUGUGAUUCAGUACAAAGCGGGGAAUAAAACUGUGAUGCUUGUAGAGGACAAGAUUCAUUGAUUGGAGCUGGAUCAGAAGAAAUAUAGAAUAUGUGGCAAACUGUUUUUCCUGUUGUGAAAUCGGUGGCACCGAGUGGCAUGUUUCGGUAGUACCGAAGGGAUUCAGUUGGACCGAAAAUGGCAAUUCGGUGAAACCGAGUUCAUCAUAGAGAAAAACACUUGUCACCUCGGCUCACUAGUCAGGUAAGAUCUCACAAAGAUUUGCAAGGAAUUUGAUGCAGAAAUAUGCAGAAAAAGAACGAAAAGGAAAAGAGUGAAAGUUUCUAGAUGAAGUACAAAUAUGCAAGGAACAAAUGCAAUAAUUCAGAAAAGGACACAAGAGAACUUCAUCUAGAAUUGGGUGGUGACAUAGCCACCUAUGUUAGAGUAUAUUGACUUAGGAGUCAAGUGAGGACACUUGAUCAUAGGUCAUACUCAUCGUUUAAGCUCACAAUGGGGUUACCAUUUUUCGUUUAAGCAUCUUGAUGUAUUCACAUCUUGUUGAGUUGCUUUGACUCAUGUCUUGGAGUAAAGCUUCUCUAAGAUGGAAUGACAUACCUUGGGUGGUGAUGUGGUUCUUGCUCAUGUAGUUGAACUUGUGGGUGCUCAGGGUUGAUGUAGUUCAUCAAGAGUUGGGAGCACCACUUGGAGUUUGAGUCCAUCUACCUACAUGGGUUAGUUCUUGCAAGGAAGAGCACUUGUGUAUCCAAAAAUGACAAUCAUGAAGCUUAACAUAGAAUUUGUCAAAGGAUAUGUUUGAAUGGUUUUGUGCCUCCUUGUCUUCAACCACUAUUGUGUAGAGUCUUGGUCUUGUAGAGAUUGCUCAAGAUGUGAGUGAUUCGCAAUCUCGUGGAAUUAGAUUCAACCAAGCACCUACAUGGGUUAGACAAAAUGCAAGGUGCAAAUAUAUCCAAGACAUAAGAUAGUUAUCAUAAGAGAUACAUCAUGGAUUAGUUAUAAGCUCAUGUCUUGCAUGUAUCCAAUGGAGUUUCUACUCCAAGUUCGAAGCAUCAAUGAUGUUCAAUUCUCCUCUCAACCUGCAAAACACUUUCUCAUCAAGCGGUUUAGUGAAUAUAUCCGCUAACUGCUUAUCGGUGCGAACAUGCUUAAGAUUGAUGUCACCCUUAGCAACAUGAUCUCGAAUGAAAUGAUGGCGAACUUCAAUAUGCUUAGUUCGAGAAUGUUGUACAGGAUUAUGGCCAAUUUUGAUAGCACUUUCAUUGUCACAAAGCAGUGGAACAUGUUUCACAUAAAUCCCAUAAUCUUUAAGAGUUUGGCUCAUCCAAAGUAAUUGAGCACAACAUGAACCAGCGGCAAUGUAUUCCGCUUCGGCGGUGGAUAAGGAUACCGAGUUUUGUUUCUUGGAAGACCAAGACACAAGAGAUCUACCAAGAAAUUGACAAGUACCCGAAGUGGACUUUCUAUCAACCUUGUCUCCAGCAUAAUCUGAGUCGGAAUAGCCAACAGGAUCAAAAGAAGACCUCUUAGGAUACCAAAUGCCAAAAUUUGGUGUAUGGAUUAAAUAUCUCAUUAUCCUUUUCACAGCCUUAAGAUGACAAUCUUUAGGAGCAGCUUGAUAUCGUACACACAUGCACACACUUAGCAUAAUAUCGGGACGUGAAGCACAUAGGUAUAACAAUGAACCAAUCAUAGAGCGAUAAACCUUUUGAUCAACAGGUUCACCAUCUUUGGUCAAAUCAUUAUGUCCACUAGUAGGCAUGGGUGUAGACAUACCUUUGCAUUCUUGCAUAUUGAACUUCUUGAAUAAGUCCUUGGUGUACUUUGUUUGAGAGACAAAUGUACCUUCCUUUGUUUGCUUGAUUUGCAACCCGAGAAAGAAUUUGAGUUCUCUCAUCAUAGACAUCUCAAACUUCUCUGACAUUAGCUUUCCAAACUUUUCACUAAAGAGAGGGUUAGUUGAACCAAAUAUGAUGUCAUCAACAUAAAUUUGGCAUACAAAUAGUUCCCCAUUAACCUUUUUAGUAAAAAGAGUAGAAUCAAUUUUACCAAUUUCAAAACCACUUGUAGUAAGGAACUUGGUCAAGCAUUUAUACCAUGCUCUAGGAGCUUGUUUAAGACCAUAAAGAGCUUUGUGAAGUUUGUAAACAUGAUUUGGUUUCUUAGGAUUGACAAAGCCGGGAGGUUGUUUGACAUAAACUUCCUCCUCUAUUUCUCCAUUUAGAAAGGCACUUUUAAUGUCCAUUUGGUACAAGGUGAUAUUAUGGUGAUUAGCAUAGGCAAGUAAGAUGCGAAUGGACUCAAGUCUAGCAACGGGAGCAUACGUCUGACCAUAGUCCAUACCUUCGACUUGUGUGUAUCCUUGGGCGACGAGAUGUGCUUUGUUGCGGACCACUUGUCCAUCUUCAUCUUGCUUGUUGCGAAACACCCAUUUGGUACCAAUGAUGUUGUGGUUGUUGUCGGGCUUCUCAACCAAUGUCCAAACUUCGUUUCUCUCAAAAUUAUGUAGCUCUUCAUGCAUAGCGUUGAUCCAAUCCGGAUCUUCCAAUGCUUCUUCAACCUUCAUUGGUUCAAUGCUAGAGAUGAAUGAAUAGUUUUCACAAAAGUUAGCUAAACGAGUUCUUGAGCGAGUGAUUCUCCCGGUUUGUAUAUCAUUGAGGAUUUGCUCGACUGGAUGAUCUUUAGCAAUUCUUGCUCGAACUUGUCAGAGCUUUUGCUUGGGUCUUUGUUGAACAUCUUCUUCAUAUUGUUCUUCUUCUUGGCCUUCUUCAUUGUUGACGUCGUCGUUCUCUUGUCGUGGUGGAGAAGGAGGUUGUUGAUGUUCAUCUUGACGUACUUCCUCGUUUUCUUCAUCUUGGUGUGUCCCACUUGUGGAUGCUUCCGUGUUGAUUCUUGGUUCACCUUGUUGUGAAGUAGAAGCUUCCACUUGGACGGAUGAAGUACUCUCCUUCACCUCCGUUGGACGAAUUUUGCCAAUGGACAAGUCUUGAAUUGCUUCCGAAGGGUCUUUGUCUCCUACAUCAAUUGGCAAUUGCUCUACUUGCGAGCCAUUAGAUUCAUCAAACUUCACAUCUACCGUCUCUUCAACCUUUCGGGUGAAAUUGUUGUAGACACGGUAAGUGUGAGAGUUUGAGACAUAACCAAGUAGAAAACCUUCAUGAGAUUUAGGAGCAAACUUUGAACGACGAUGCUUAUCAAGAAUGUAACACUUUGAGCCGAAUACUUGAAAGUAUCCAACUUGAGGCUUGUUACCGGUGAGGAUCUCGNNNNNNNNNNNNNNNNNNNNNNNNNNNNNNNNNNNNNNNNNNNNNNNNNNNNNNNNNNNNNNNNNNNNNNNNNNNNNNNNNNNNNNNNNNNNNNNNNNNNNNNNNNNNNNNNNNNNNNNNNNNNNNNNNNNNNNNNNNNNNNNNNNNNNNNNNNNNNNNNNNNNNNNNNNNNNNNNNNNNNNNNNNNNNNNNNNNNNNNNNNNNNNNNNNNNNNNNNNNNNNNNNNNNNNNNNNNNNNNNNNNNNNNNNNNNNNNNNNNNNNNNNNNNNNNNNNNNNNNNNNNNNNNNNNNNNNNNNNNNNNNNNNNNNNNNNNNNNNNNNNNNNNNNNNNNNNNNNNNNNNNNNNNNNNNNNNNNNNNNNNNNNNNNNNNNNNNNNNNNNNNNNNNNNNNNNNNNNNNNNNNNNNNNNNNNNNNNNNNNNNNNNNNNNNNNNNNNNNNNNNNNNNAGUAGCUUGUGAAGAUAUAAGCGAUUUGUUGCGUGACAAGCUGUCUCAACCGCUUCUGCCCAAAAGUGCUUUGGCGUCUUGUAUUCAUCAAGCAUCGUUCUUGCCAUUUCGAUGAGCGUCUGGUUCUUCCUCUCAACAACUCCAUUUUGUUGAGGUGUGUACGUAGCCGAGAACUCGUGUGAAAUCCCUUCUUCGUCAAGAAAGGUGUCCACAUUUGUGUUCUUGAACUCCGUUCCAUUGUCACUCCGAACCUUCUUGAUCUUCACAUCAAACUGAUUUUGGGCCUUCCUAGCGAAGUUUCUGAAGAUCUUCUGGACCUGCGACUUGUCAUUAAGAAAGAACACCCACGUAAAUCUUGAGAAAUCAUCAACUAUAACUAGACCAAAAUAAUUUCCACCGAGACUCUUGUAGGCGUUGGCAACAAAAAGAUCCAUGUGAAGCAGCUCGAGUGGCCUCCUUGUGGUCAUGAUGUUCUUCACGGGAUGUCUUCCUCCAACCUGUUUACCUGCUUGACAAGCACUGCAAAGUCUAUCCUUAUCAAAUAUGACAUCGUUAACUCCAAGGAUAUGAUUUCCUUUAAUAAGCUUGUCAAGGUUUCUCAUGCCAACGUGACCUAGUCGUCUAUGCCACAACCAACCUUUUGAGGAUUUAGCAACAAAGCAAGUUUUAGGUUGUGCCUUUUUAGAGAAAUCGACAAUGUAAAGAUCACCUCUACGCAUACCUGUAAAGACCAUUUUAUGAUUGUCUCGACGAAAUACUUGGCAAUCUACCUCAGUGAAUAGGACAUUCAAACCGAAAUCAGCAAGUCUAGAUACUGAAAGUAAGUUAUAGCCAAGAGAAUCAACGAGCAUGACAUUUUGAAUGGAACUAUCAUGUGAGAUGGCCACCUUACCAAGGCCAACCACUUUACCCUUUGAAUUAUCACCGAAGGUGACAUAUUUUCGAGGGCCGUUGUUUUCAGCAAGUUCAUGGAACAUCUCUUCAUCUCCGGUCAUAUGAUCAGUGCAUCCACUAUCAAGGACCCAUUCCUUUCCUCCUGAUUCAUAUCCCCGAAGAUUUGCCAUAAGACCAAAAUGUCUCAUUGCAUUAUCAAGAUCGGAGUCACUAUCAUCAUCAUCAUAAUAUUCAUGUUCAUCAUGAUCUUGUGACUCAUCAUUUCCUAGAGAGGGUAAUUCAUUAGAUAAAUGAUCAAAGUGGUUACUUUUAUGAAUUCUUAUAGCUUUGAGUAUGAUAUCAUUAAUGAUUCCAACAUCUCCUUUAGCAUACUUAAGAUUGGCAAGUUCAAGAAGACAUUUGCCAAAACUAGGAUCACUAGAGUUCAUCUUACUCAAGGCAAUAGAUUUAUGGAGAAUUUCAUCCAAAGUUUUCAAGGAGUAAUUGGGAAACCGUUCCUCAAGAAAUUUCCAUAUAGUGUAGGCGCAAUUUUGAGUAGGCAAGCUAGCAAUCAAAUCGUUGGGCAAUCCUCUAAUGAUGAGCUCAAUAGUUCUAAGAUUGCGAAUCAUGUCAAUAUCUUCAUCUAGGGUAGGAUGCAAGGGAUCAAUAUGGGGUGCACAAGGGCUAGCAAUAUACUUGUUCAAAUGAUAUUGAUUGAAGAUUACAAGCAUCUCAUUUUUCCACUCAUGAAAAUACUUUCCAUCAAGAAUAGGCACUCUAUGUCUAAGACUCCCUAGAGUAGACACAUCCAUCUUCCUCCAAUGGUGAUUAAACCAAGGCAAUGGAGACCAAAGCUCUGAUACCACUUGUAGGAUCUAGAAGUAGAUGUGUCUAAAGGGGGGGUGAUUAGACACUUAGUGCUAAAGUUACAAUCUUUAAGCUUCUUCGGUUUAAGUGGGGGUUUAGUCACAAUUUCAGCACACACAAUACAUAUCAAGCAAGCAUGCAAAGAGCAAGAAUGUAAAGGGAAAGGUUUGGAGAGAUCAAACGCAAUUGGAGACACGGAUGUUUUUCCCGUGGUUCAGAUAGGUGGUGCUAUCCUACAUCCACGUUGAUGGAGACUUCAACCCACGAAGGGUAACGGUUGCGUGAGUCCACACAGGGCUCCACCCAAGGGAAACGGUUGCGCGAGUCCACGAAGGGCUCCACCCAUGAAGGGUCCACGAAGAAGCAACCACCCACAAAGGGUCCACGAAGAAGCAACCUUGUCUAUCCCACCAUGGCCAUCGCCCACGAAGGACUUGCCUCACUAGCGGUAGAUCUUCACGAAGUAGGCGAUCUCCUUGCCCUUACAAACUCCUUGGUUCAACUCCACAAUCUUGUCGGAGGCUCCCAAGUGACACCUAGCCAAUCUAGGAGACACCACUCUCCAAGAAGUAACAAAUGGUGUGUAGGUAAUGAACUCCUUGCUCUUGUGCUUCAAAUGAUAGUCUCCCCAACACUCAACUCUCUCUCAUAGGAUUUGGAUUUGGUGGAAAGAAGAUUAGAGUGGAAAGCAACUUGGGAAGGCUAGAGAUCAAGAUUCAUAUGGUAGGAAUGGAAUGUCUUGGUCUCAACACAUAAGUAGGUGGUUCUCUCUCAGAACAUAUGAGUUGGAAUGGUGUGUGUGUUCUGAUGGCUCUCUCACUAAAUGAGAAAGAGGUGAAGGGGUAUGUAUAGCCUCCACACAAAAUCCAACCGUUACACACAAUUUACCAAUCUCAGUGGGACCGAAUCAGAAAACUCGGUCUGACCGAAAUAGUAAACCUAGUGACCGUUAGGAAUUUCGGUGGGACUGACAUGCAACUCGGUAGGACCGAUUCGGUUAGGGUUUGGGCAUAACAUAAUCUCGGUGAGACCGAUUACACAAACUCGGUGGGACCGAAUUUGGUAAUUAGCUAACCAGAGAGUUGGUCAGGCAAACUCGGUGGGACCGAUUUGCUCUUUCGGUGAGACCAAGUGGAACUCGGUGAGACCGAAAAGUUACAAAGGGGAAACACUGAGUUUACAUUGCAAUCUCGGUGGGACCGAUUGCAUAUCUCGGUGGGACCGAGAAUAUUGCAAUAGGUAACAGAGAGUUUGCAAUCCCAUCUCGGUGAGACCGAGAUCCUUAUCAUUAGGACCGAAUUGCUAGGGUUUGGCAGUGGCUAAUGACAAGUGAAACUCGGUGGCGCCGGAUAGGAGGAAUCGGUAGGACCGAGUUUGGCUUAGGGUUUUAGGUCAUAUGUGGAAGUGGGAAAGUAGCUGAGGAUUUUGGAGCAUAUCAUUAAGCACAUGAAGCAAGAGGCUCAUUAAGCCACACCUCAUCCCUCCUUGAUAGUAUUGGCUUUGCCUAUGGACUCAAUGUGAUCUUGGAUCACUAAAAUGUAAAAUGAAGGGUCUUGAGCUUGAAGCUUUAGCCAAUCCUUUGUCCUUAGCAUCUUGAAGGAGUUCCCACAACCUUUAGUCCAUGCCACUCCAUUGUUGAACUUACCUGAAACAUGCUAGAUAGAAAUGUUAGUCCAACAAGAGAUAUGUUGUCAUCAAUUAUCAAAACCACCUAGGGAGCACUUGUGCUUUCAGAAGCCAAGCAUGGGGGAUAACCAUUAGAAACAGGGUUGUAUAGGAGAGUCAGGUUUCGAUCCUAUGAAACUGUGGGUUAUGGGCCCACCAUACGGGAUAAAGGUAGAAGGAGUGGUGACAUCUUGCACGGUCAUGAUAACAAGGCAUGUCAGAGGGUAGCCCGCCAGUUAUGUCGAAAACAACGUCGGUACCAAGGGCGAGGGACGAAGAGAACCAUUCUCUUGCUCGUUGAACGAGGCGGACCAAUAGGCAAAGUUCUCGUCCAUCGGUGGUUACCAGAAUGUCAUCAACAAUAGUAACAGGGUCUUACCGUCACGAUUGUACACCUAGGUGUUUACUUAAGCAGAAGAAUAUUACUGCUUAGAUCAUAUAGAUCACCAGAAAGGUUAAACAAAACAAUGGAAAGGAAAAGGUGAUCAUCAGAUUAAAUAGAACAAAGGAAAGGAAAAUGUGUUUAAACACAUUCUUCAGGGGUAUAUCCUUCCCAAGGACAAACAGAGCAUGAUAUCCAUGACGGGAUAUAAUGUAGAAAACCCUUUAGGAAACGGGAGAGAAAUUUCAUGACUUUACCCAUAGCGCGGUGUUUGGAUAGUUGAGUAGGAAACAUUUAGCAUUGUGCUUCAAAUGUUCUUUUUGAAAAUCGGAGUAACAUAGACAUGCUUCGAGAUAGCAUUGACAUGGUCAUCAAGUGAAGAUCAGACUUCGGAUACACGAAGGAUCCAUCAGGAUAACUUAUUAAACAAGGCAUUCAAUUUCCUCAUGGAAAAAUGGUUAACCUUGUUAAAAAGGAAACUAUAACACUAGGUCCUCUGGUCAGGUGUGCUAGGCAUGACAUCACCUUAUCAGGUCAUUUAAAGACCAAAGUUAUGACUCUUGGACACAGUUCCAACCAUCAGAUCUGACCGAGGUUCGGAUCCGACCGGUGUCAGGAUACCUCCAACAUAGGAUGCCUGAGAAGAAAAGGUGUAGCACAAUUGACGAGAUGACAUUAUAAGAUUCUCGGGCAAUGAACUAUGGAAGCGAGUUCCAAAACAAGAUUUCAUUGGUAAACCAAGGAGAGGAUGAGGUGGUGGCUGAUGAACUCAGCGACAAUUCAUCAAGAUUUCCUAAGGAUGGAUUUCCACAAUUAAUUAUUGAAUGAAAAUGCACCUAGAAAUAUGGACCAAGUAGGACGUUCAAAGUUAGAAUGGUGAUUCGAUAACGAAACUAUCGGCCAUUCACUUCAAAACAAUAGGUUUGCUAGAGAUAUCAAAUUCCCACAACAGAGUUCACUCAACACAGGGCAAAGAAAAGAAUGGUGAUGGCGAGAAGCAUCAUUGUAACAAGAAUUUCUUAAGAGGUGGUGAAAUUCUCACAACCUUCUUGAUAUAUAAGAUGGUAAUACUCCAAGGUAGAACUUAUUACAAGCUAGAUAGCAAGUUGCAUCCAUAACAUGAAUAAGUUUGUGACGGAAGGAAGGUAAGGAUGUUGUCAAUGGUAACUCAUAUUACCAAGGGGUGAGGGUGGUACUUAUCAUCAUGAAUUCGAUUGGUAUUCUGGAAAGAUUCAAAAUGUUCAUGAUGAUCAUGACAAAUUUUGUCGAGAGAUUUCAUGAAGAUGUAAUCGAUCGAUGAUGACAUCAAGUCAAACGAAUGAUGAAGUGAAAGGUUAUUUGAACCACGAGUAAGACACAAACUCAAAAUCAAGCUUGCUAUUCAAGGCGAAAUGAUAUGACGAGGAAAAUCGACAUAAGCUUAGCUCAUCGUCGAAAGUGGUGCUCCGGGAAUAAGGACCAGGUAGCAUAGUUAAAAUCAUCAAGACAAUGAUAUAUCCAAACAGGCUAGGAAUGGCGUGAUCGGGUAUAUACUCGUACUUAAAGAAGAUUACUAAGAGUUGUUGAACCGUAGUGCGGACUCGGUUCAGUUAUCGGUGUUCUUGAGUGUUUAAUAACUCAGAGACCAUGAAAAAUUGUGAUCAGUGAGAAGGUAGUACUUGAUGAAGAACUCAUAGGAAGUUAUGCAGUUCCAAGAUAAUCUCGAGAUACCAGGGGGUAAUACUCGAAGACAGAUCAAAGUAGAGGUUGGACUGGGGUAUUGCUUUGCAGAAGACAAGUACUUCAACUUGUCCGAGAAAUGGGAUCCAAGAAGAACAUAUGGUCGGAACCACGAUUGCGAAGGAUCAAUUCAUCGAUACCAAAGGAUAUAAUAUCAAGGAAAUAGUUAUUAUUACAAGAAGCUACCAUGAUAGGAUCUACAUCGUGUCCAUGGGCAUGAACACAAAGUUCAAGGUCGACUCCCACUUCUUCAAUGUACAAGCUUCCAUUCACCUCUCACUUUUUCAAAAAUGACAAUAGUUGUUGAAUGUUUUACUUGGUGCAAUACCAGAUAAGUAUGACCCGUGAAAUCUUUUGGGUUCACACAGAUUAAGGAAGGCAUCGGUUCAGCCCAUCGGGGCAUUGUAGAAACAUAUACCGCAAACUUCAGGAGUAAAUAACACAAGCUCGAUAGUAGAGCAUGCUUGAGAAAGCAGAGGAUACAAUUUACCAAAGGCAUUAUGUAUCCAAGGAAGGGCUCACAAGCUUAUUGAAUAUGAAGGACGUUGUUGGAUAAAAUCCAACAAAGGGUCUGGUGGUCCACAAGGGACCUGAUGUGAGCAUCGGUACUCUACCAGAAGAAGAAAGAAUGCAAGGGGAUCAAAUGAUAGAAACAACUGACUAACUCAAAGCUCAAUUGCACAGGAAUUAUGAUUCUAAGUCAAGGGAUCAGAAGCAAUGCUCUGAAUAGGGAUGGAUAAGUUGAAUAGUCUUAGAGGUACAAUCGACGGCAAUUUGUUUGGUCGAGAACCAGCUCAUGUUCAAAAUGACGUCUAAACCGGAAAGAUAAUUUAGUAGGGUCGAUUGAUGAUUGUGUGCAUUCGCACACAUGUUGAAUCAAUAGGAUCAAAAUGACAGUGUCAAAAGGUACUAGUGAAUAUUGCUAGUGAUAUGGGAGCAUCCAUAAUGUAAGCAUACAAGUAUUUGCAGAGAAUAGUUCGAAGAGGAUUCUCAGAAGGUCGGAUAGUAUUUGAGAGCAUCUUAUGAAGUAUACGAACAACUAGGGAUGAACGGAUACUCAAUAAGUGCGAGGAAUUUUCAAUAGGGGUAUUCAUGUGGUAAAGAUCUGCAAGGCAGUAAGCUUAAAGGAUUUUCGGAACAACGGAGAGCAAUUUAGGGCAUCUCGUAAUAACAAGAGCAACCGAGAAUGAAGGUAUGAACGAAAAUUGUAGGCAGUUAUCCAUAAGGGUAUAUCGGUGGUACGGGAUUGUAAAGUCGGUGGGCACAAGGGUCUCGGGAAAACCUCGGAGAGUAUCUUCGAAAUCUUCUGGUGCAGCAAGCGAUCAUCUGGAGUGAGGGGCUCUCCGGGAGAAAGUAUUUACGAGAACCUAAAGUUAGUCCUUUUAGCAAAAUCAUUUAACCCGAAUAGGGGAGAGAUUAGAGUCCCAGAGUAUAGGUCGAGGAAUAAAAGACCUUAACACUACCCAAUGGUGACGUGGGUUCGUAAGACACACGGCCAUGUUAGUAAAAGUUUUUCAAUGACUAGACUCGACUUCGGCCAAGGAGUUGGAAAGGGGGAUUCCUAUAGGCAGUCGGCUCUGAUACCAACUUGUGACGCCCCCGAUUCAAUCGUACACUAAUCAUACACGCAAACAUGUACGAUCAAGAUCACGGACUCACGGGAAGAUAUCACAACACAACUCUACAAAUAAAAUAAGUCAUACAAGCAUCAUAUUACAAGCCAGGGGCCUCGAGGGCUCGAAUACAAGAGCUCGAUCAUAGACGGGUCAGCGGAAGCAACAAUAUCUGAGUACAGACAUAAGUUAAACAAGUUUGUGUUAAGAAGGCUAGCACAAACUGGGAUACAGAUCGAAAGAGGCGCAAGCCUCUUGCCUGGGAUCCUCCUAAACUACUCCUUGGUCGUCGUCAGCGGGCUACACGUAGUAGUAGGCAGGUCCCGAGUAGUAGUAGUCGUCAUCAAUGGUGGUGUCUGGCUCCUGGACUCCAACUUCUGGUCGCAGCAAUCGGAUAUAGGAAGGGGGAAAAGGGGGAGAAAAGCAACCAUGAAUACUCAUCCAAAGUACUCGCAAGCAAGGAGCUACACUACAUAUGUAUGCAUUGGUAUCAAAUGGAAAAGGGGUAUCAUAUGUGGACUGAACUGCAGAAUGCCGGAAUAAGAGGGGGAUAGCUAGUCCUAUCAAAGACUACACUUCUGGCCACCUCCAUCUUGCAGCAUGAAGAAGAGAGUAGAUGGUAAGUCCACCAAGUAGCAUCGCGUAGCAUAAUCCUAACCGAUGAUCCUCCCCUCGUCGCCCUGUGAGAGAGCGAUCACCGGUUGUAUCUGGCACUUGGAAGGGUGUGUUUUAUUAAGUAUCCGGUUCUAGUUGUCAUAAGGUCAAGGUACAACUUCGGGUCGUCCUUUUACCGAGUGACACGGCUAUUCGAAUAGAUCAACUUCCCUACAGGGUGCUCCACAUUUCCCAACACACUCGAUCCCCUUUGUCCGGACACACUUUCCUGGGUCAUGCCCGGCCUCGGAAGAUCAACACGUCGCAGCCCUACCUAGGCACAUCAGAGAGGCAGCACGCCGGUCUAAAUCCUAUGGCGCAGGGGUCUGGGCCCAUCGCCCAUUGCACACCUGCACGUUGCAUACGCGGCCGAUGAACAGACCUAGCCUCCCUUAUACAAGAGUAGGCGUUCCAGUCCAACCCGGCGCGCGCCACUCAGUCGCUGACGUCAUGAAGGCUUCGGCUGAUACCACGACCUCGAGUGCCCAUAACUGUCCCCGCGUAGAUGAUUAGUGCGUAUAGGCCAGUGGCUAGACUCAGAUCAAAUACCAAGAUCUCGUUAAACGUGUUGUCUGGAAAUAACCGUGAACGCCGACCAGGGCCAGGCCCACCUCUCUCCUAGGUGGUCUCAACCUGCCCUGUCGCUUCGCCACAAAGAACCACACAGAGGGCCGUUGGGAAAGUAUGUCCUUCCAGCCCCCAAUUCGUGAAUUAACCGCGGUACUCCUCGAGCCAAACCGACUUUAGUCAUCACAUGUAUCAUGUAUAAAGUAUAUGGUAUAUACCCGUGAUCACCUCCCGAGUGAUCACGGCCCGAUAGUAUAGCAUGGCAGACGGACAAGAAUGUAGGGCCACUGAUGAUAAACUAGCAUCCUAUUCUAAACAUGAGGAUUGCAGGUAAAGGUAACAAUAGUGGUAGCAAGGACAGGCUAUGCAUCAGGAUAGGAUUGACGGAAAGCAGUAACAUGCUACACUACUCUAAUGCAAGAAGUAAAGAGAAGAGUAGGCGGUAUCUGGUGAUCAAAGGGGGGGCUUGCCUGGUUGCUCUGGCAAGAGAGAGGGGUCGUCAACACCGUAGUCCUACUGGGUAGCAGCAGCAUCGAUCUCGGUGUCUAGCGAGAGAAGAUGGGGAAGAAACAAUAAAUAUUAAGCAAACAGAUGCAUAGUGAUGCAUGACAUGACAAGUAUCGGUGCUAGGGGUGCCCUAACGCAGUACGAGGUGGUAUCGGUGAAGGGGGAAAACAUCCGGGAAAGUAUUCCCGGUGUUUCGCGUUUUUGGAUAGAUGAACCGGAAGGGGAAAGUUGCGUGUUUGCCAUGCUAGGGAUGUGUGGCGGACUAACGGGCUGCGUAAUCGGAUUCAUCUCGUCGUUGUGAGCAACAUUCAUGUACAAAGUUUUUCCAUCCGAGCUAUGGUUUAUUUUAUAUUAAUUUUUAAAGUUUUAAAUCAUUUUCUAGAAUUAACAGAAUUAAUUUAGUACUAAAAUACAUUUAUGACAUCAGCAUGACGUCAGCAUGACGUCAGCAGUCAACCAGUUAGUUGACUAGGUCAAACUGACACAUGGGUCCUACUAUCAUUGACUAAGACUAAUUAAACAGGUUAAUUAGUUUAAUUAGUUGUUUAGUUUAAUUAAUCAAAAUUAAUUAAGUUAAUUAACUCUUCAAUUAAUUAAUUAAUUUUAUUUUUAUUAUAUUUUUUUAUUCUUUUUUAUGGAAACGUUCUAGGGUGUGGGCCCCUCGUGUCAUAGAGUCAGGGCCUUAAUGGGCGUCGGGCUAACCAGGGCUUCGCCCCGAUCGUGCAGGCGCGUGCGCCGGGCGCCUUAGCACGCGGACAGGGGGAAGGGGACGGCGUGUGGUCCAGCACCAGCGACCGUGGCCGGUGCAGGGCAGCGCGGCGAGGCCGGCCGGAGCUGAGGGGGGCGCGAUGGCAUGUGCGCGGGGCGCCAGAGGCCCGGUCAGAGGCGGUGAUGCGUGCGGGGGCUAGNNNNNNNNNNNNNNNNNNNNNNNNNNNNNNNNNNNNNNNNNNNNNNNNNNNNNNNNNNNNNNNNNNNNNNNNNNNNNNNNNNNNNNNNNNNNNNNNNNNNNNNNNNNNNNNNNNNNNNNNNNNNNNNNNNNNNNNNNNNNNNNNNNNNNNNNNNNNNNNNNNNNNNNNNNNNNNNNNNNNNNNNNNNNNNNNNNNNNNNNNNNNNNNNNNNNNNNNNNNNNNNNNNNNNNNNNNNNNNNNNNNNNNNNNNNNNNNNNNNNNNNNNNNNNNNNNNNNNNNNNNNNNNNNNNNNNNNNNNNNNNNNNNNNNNNNNNNNNNNNNNNNNNNNNNNNNNNNNNNNNNNNNNNNNNNNNNNNNNNNNNNNNNNNNNNNNNNNNNNNNNNNNNNNNNNNNNNNNNNNNNNNNNNGGGGCGCCGCGGCCGAGCGAGAAGUUGCAUCGCGCAGUGCGGGGUGGGGCAGCCGUGCACGGCGAGGCGACGGCGGGGGGACGGCUCGGGCGCGCGAUGACAGGGGAAGAGGGGAGGGGAGGAGGACGCGUGCUCACAGGGGUGCUGCAGGGUUCGGGCAGCGGGGGGACGAGGAGGUGGACGGGGAUGACCGGCGAGGAAGGCGGAGACGGGGAGGCAGCUCCGGUGAGGUGGCUUCGGCGACGUCGUCGAGCGGCGGGGGCGGGAUCCACGGCGGCCACGACGACGUCGGCAGUGGCGCGGGCUGUGUUGAGCCCCAAUCCAGAUCCGGGGGGGCGAUGGCGGUAGGCGGUGCUGACCGGGUGGCGUCGUUGCGGUGGCGCCGGCGUUGGGGCGCCGUGGGGCGUGGUCGACGCGGUCGUGCCCCAAUCCAGAAGGGGAUCGGGUAGUGGGAGGGAGUGUGUGGGGAGUGGGAUGGGCGAGUGGGGCUAGGGUUUUGGGGAUGGGGAGAUAAGGGAAGUGGGGGUGCCGGUUGGGCCUUUUUUUGCUAAAUGGGCCAAGGGGCCCAGUAGAUUAGGUUUCUUUUCUGUUUACUAGUAUUUUUCCAUUUACUUUUUGUUUAUUUAUUUAGCUAUUGUUUUGUAUUUUCUUUUAGCAUCAAAAUAUUUUUGUAAAAUGUUAAACCUUGCCAUAGAAUUACCAUGCAUUAUUGUGCACUGCCAUAACAAGUUUGGGUUCAAAAUAAUUUAUUAAGUUUGAGUUUAUUUUUAAAUGGGAUAAAAAGGUGUUGUUGGUCCACUAUUUUAAUAUCCAGGGGCAAUUUUAUAUUUUGAAAAAUGUUAAUUAUUUCAUGACAAAUUGUUAGUGAAUAUUUGCAACCCACCAAACAUUUUUGUUUUACCGUUUGAAGAAAUAAUAGUUUGACUUUAUUUUAAAUUUAAUUUGAAUCAUGUUUGGAUCAAAGUGAGGUUUAGCAAAUUACUGCAAUGACAUGGCAUCAUUAAGAGGGGAUUACUGUAGCUUGAUUAUCCGGGUGUCACACCUUCCCACCCGCUCCC